rnacentral:rRNA from 1 species
ACGAACGCUGGCGGCGUGCUUAACACAUGCAAGUCGAACGAUGACGACCGAGCUUGCUCGGUCUGAUUAGUGGCGAACGGGUGAGUAACACGUGAGCAACCUGCCCUUCCCUCUGGGAUAACCUCGGGAAAUCGGGGCUAAUACCGGAUAUGAGCUCCUGUCGCAUGGCGGGUGUUGGAAAGUUUUUCGGUGAAGGAUGGGCUCGCGGCCUAUCAGUUUGUUGGUGAGGUAGUGGCUCACCAAGGCGAUGACGGGUAGCCGGCCUGAGAGGGCGACCGGCCACACUGGGACUGAGACACGGCCCAGACUCCUACGGGAGGCAGCAGUGGGGAAUAUUGCACAGUGGGCGAAAGCCUGAUGCAGCGACGCCGCGUGAGGGAUGACGGCCUUCGGGUUGUAAACCUCUUUCAGCAGGGAAGAAGCGAAAGUGACGGUACCUGCAGAAGAAGCGCCGGCUAACUACGUG